UACGUAGGGUGCGAACAUUAUCCGGAUUUAUUGGGCGUAAAGAGCUCGUAGGUGGUUUGGAAAGUUAGAUAUUAAAUAUCCCGGCUCAACUGGGAAAAAGUAUCUAAAACUUCCUGACUAGAGGUAUGCAGGGGGAGAUGGAACUUGUGGUGUAGCAGUGAAAUGCGUAGAUAUCACAAGGAACGCCAAUAGUGAAGACAGUCUUCUGGGCAUUACCUGACACUGAGGAGCGAAAGCGUGGGGAGCGAGCGGGAUUAGAUACCCCGGUAGUCCACGCCGUAAACGAUGCAUACUAGGAAUAUGGAGAAUCGACCCUCUGUGUUUCGAAGCUAACGCGUUAAGUAUGCCGCCUGGGUAGUACGGCCGAAAGGCUAAA
rnacentral:rRNA from 1 species